rnacentral:lncRNA from 1 species
GGAGGGAGAGGCAGCUGGCAGCAACCCCUCUAUGCAGCAGGCACUGUUCCGGGCAUUACACAGCUCCAUCCCGUGAGGCAGAGGUAUGAGGUAGAUGACAUUGAUGAAGAAGGCAAAGCGAGACACACCGUGAGCUUGCGCCGGAUCAUCCCGCUGACCCGGUGGAAGGCCAACCCCGAGACAGACCCCGAGGCCUUGUUAGUCAAGGAGAA